rnacentral:rRNA from 1 species
GAUGAACGCUAGCGGCAGGCUUAAUACAUGCAAGUCGUGGGGCAGCAUGAGUGUAGCAAUACAUUUGAUGGCGACCGGCAAACGGGUGCGGAACACGUACACAACCUUCCUAUAAGUGGGGAAUAGCCCAGAGAAAUUUAGAUUAAUACCGCAUAACGUAAUUGAACGGCAUCGUUUAAUUAUCAAACUUCCAGGGGUUGAAGAUGGGCAUGCGUCCGAUUAGUUAGUUGGUGAGGUAACGGCUCACCAAGACAUCGAUCGGUAGGGGAUCUGAGAGGAUUGCCCCCCACACUGGUACUGAGACACGGACCAGACUCCUACGGGAGGCAGCAGUAAGGAAUAUUGGUCAAUGGACGCAAGUCUGAACCAGCCAUGCCGCGUGCAGGAAGACGGUCCUCUGGAUUGUAAACUGCUUUUGUUAGGGAAGAAACCCUCGGAUGCGUUCGAGGCUGACGGUACCUAAAGAAUAAGGAUCGGCUAACUCCGUGCCAGCCGCCGCGGUAACAC